GCGGAAGUGGUGAAAUUGGUAUACACGCUACUUUGAGGGGGUAGUGCCGGUUCCGGCGUGCGGGUUCAAGUCCCGCCUUCCGCA
rnacentral:tRNA from 1 species